GAUGAACGCUGGCGGCGUGCCUAACACAUGCAAGUCGAACGAAGCGUCUUAAAGGAAGUUUUCGGAUGGAAUUUGGGAUGACUGAGUGGCGGACGGGUGAGUAACGCGUGGAUAACCUGCCUCAUACAGGGGGAUAACAGCUAGAAAUGGCUGCUAAUACCGCAUAAGCGCACAGUGCCGCAUGGCAGUGUGUGAAAAACUCCGGUGGUAUGAGAUGGACCCGCGUCUGAUUAGGUAGUUGGUGGGGUAACGGCCUACCAAGCCGACGAUCAGUAGCCGACCUGAGAGGGUGACCGGCCACAUUGGGACUGAGACACGGCCCAA
rnacentral:rRNA from 1 species